AAGCGAAGCUACUCGAAAAGCACGUUAAACUGCUCUUCACAUACUUUCCGAACAAACGCGUCUCCUUGUGCGUCAUUUUGGUGACUUUGUAUUUUGAAUAAAUGAUAUUAUAAACGAGUACAGUAAAUAAUUGUAUUUAAAAAAUGCAGGGAACAAUCAUAGAAAAUUUAAGCGGUAGAAAGCUUUCGGUACUUGUAAUAUUACUUGUUAUCGCGCAAAUAGUUUGUUUUCUAAUAGGCGGGCUUAUUGCUCCAACUCCAGCUAGUAGCCAGAAUGUGCUUGGUACACCUUGCAAGGAUAUUCGUAUAAAUGGAUCUGAACCAGGAGGAGGAAAAUGGUUUUAUUCAAGGGGAAAAGGAUCAUGUACUCCUGUUGAUAUGAAUCGGUUUAGCUUUGACAGUCACCAUCAAGCAUAUCAAGUUGUUUAUACAUUUCAGAUGCCUGUACCUCGAAGUAGCAUGCAACUUGAUUAUUCUAGAUGGCAACAAAACUUAAUAGGUGUUUUGCAAGUGGAUAUUGUUUAUCACAGUCAGAUAGAAAUUGCUCCUAGGACUAAGAUAACAUUGGAUGCAAGACUUGCUUAUAGGAACAAAGGAGAUCCAGAUGAUGAUUGGAAACCAUAUGCAGCCUCUGUGGUAGAAAGAAUGCUAGAUUGUAGUAUUGAUGAUGCAAUGGAGCAGUACAAUUACAACUGCAGUGUGGUACCAUUGUUUGAACUUGGAUCUCUAUUCCAUGAUUAUUAUCUUCUAAAUAUUCGUCUUCCUGCUGAUACUGAUAGAAAUAUUAAUCAGGGUUUGGGACAUAUAACUGAUUUAUGGUUCACAGCUAUCAAUCAAAAUGGUGGAUUUACAAAAGUGUGGGUCAGUUUAAAAACUAUUUACUUUCCAAUCGUCUUGUGUGUUCUUACUUGGUACUGGAGACGAGUACAUAUGCUUUCCAGAUCACCAGCUUUGUUGGAGUACUUACUUUUAGCAUUGGGCAUAGCUUUGUCAUUUUUAAACAUGCCUCUGGAAUAUUUAACACUUGCCUAUGACAUGCCAUUUAUGCUUUUAUUGGGCGAUAUUAGACAGGGAGUGUUCUAUGCAAUUCUUUUAUCUUUUUGGCUUGUGUUUGCUGGAGAACAUCUUAUGAUACAGGAAGGUGAACAAAGAAAUUCUCUAAAAUGUUACUGGCGUCAUCUUUCUGCAGUAGGCAUUGGAUGUCUGUCAUUGUUUGUAUUUGAUAUGUGUGAACGUGGGGUACAAUUACGAAAUCCAUUCUACUCAAUUUGGGUUACAGAUCUUGGAACUAAAUUUGCUUUAUCUUUUAUAAUCUUAGCUGGGGUAUCUGCUGGCGUGUACUUAAUAUUCUUGGCUUACAUGAUAUGGAAAGUAUUCAUGAAUAUUAGUGCAAAACGAGCUGCAUUACCUAGUAUGAGUUCGGCACGACGUUUACACUAUGAAGGCGUAAUAUAUCGAUUUAAAUUUUUGAUGAUUGCUACGCUAUUGUGUGCAUCUUUAACGGUUGUUGGUUUUAUUCUUGGCCAGGUCGCGGAAGGGCAGUGGAAAUGGGAUGAAGAAUUACAUUUGGAAAUGACAUCAGCAUUUUUCACUGGUGUAUACGGGAUGUGGAAUAUUUACAUUAUAGCAUUAUUGUGUUUAUAUGCACCAUCACAUAAACAGUGGCCUAUCGAACCAUCCGAAAAUAGUAUUAGCGAAGAAAUUGAAUUUUCACGUUUAUCUACUGAUCCUAAUGAAACGUUGUCUUUGACAGCAUUCGCACGAAAAGCAGCAUUAGAAUAAGUAGUACACAUUUUUUAUAAGAAGUAGAACAGUGGUAACCGACCAGUCAACGCAAUUUUGUACUUAAACUUAGCAUGGAAAAUUAUAAAUAUGAAUUAAGGACUUCCGAUAUUUAUAGAGAAUGCAAGGACUGAUAAUACUCUGACAAGUAAUUUUUUAAUGCCAAAAUUAAUUAUUUAUUAUGAAAAAUAUUUUUUAAGCUUUACUUUUUCUAUGGUACAUUUACUUAAUAUUUUAUAUACUUAACAAAUAUUACUUCUAAGCGAAAUGAAUAGCGAGCCAUUUUAUCUCUAGAUUUUCUUCAUGUCCGUCUUUGUACGUUAUCAAACUAGAAUAAUACGUAGGUACCGUUAUUUUAUAAAACAUUCCAUCUUAAACCUAAAUAUCUAAAUAUCUUAUAUUGAACAAUUCACAUUACCUAUUUUCGUUAACGAUAAAUAAUCUAUUCCGUCGUUUCAUAGAACAUAUCAAUAUUGGGCAUUUAUCCAUAAUUAACAUUUCUAAACGUGCAUUUUAAUGGUAGCUAUAUGAUAGUGAACAUGGGUAUUUCAAUAUUAUUUAUUAUUAUCAUACAAAAAGGAUUAGUCUACAUUUGGCAGUAUUAAGUUCCUUUCAAUCAAUAUGUAUAAUAUUAUACAAAUUUCAUACAUAUUUUUACCAACUCCGAUGCAUUAUUGCUAUAAUUAUUAGAGUUUAAGACGUAUGCAUGCAACAAGGUAGACCUGAACAGAAAAAGGGUGCAAUAAAUUUGUAACAAUUUAGUAGAAUGAAUUUAGUGCAUAUUACUUAUGUAGAGUACUUAUAUUUGAAGCAGCAGAACUAGUAUUUUCUAUAUCUUCAAUGUAUUGAAUGAAUUGUAUUAAUGAACAAUAAUCGAAAAAAUUUUGUAUAUUAUUAAUUAUCAUAUUUCUUAAAUAAUUUUAAGAACAUGAAAUAACUAAAAUGUAACGUAAUAUUUUAACAAACUCAAAUUUUUGUAUAUUUUUAUUACUGAACUUUGGUAUAGUAUUUACUUCACACAUUUUUCUUUUGUACAUUAGACAAAAUUUUAUAUUCGUAAUUUUUAUACAUUUUUUAAAUAAAUCAAUUUGUUAGAAUAACUUUAUCGAAUUACUAAAUAUUAUGAUAAUACCAUAUGCGAUAUAUGUAUAUAUGUUAUGUAUAUGUUAAUAUUCUCGUUGUAGAUAUGUCUUUUGUUUCAACGUUAUUAAACGUCCAAGUAAAAGGCGAAUUGUGCCACAUUCGACUUGUCGAACCGUCCUCGCAAUUUGUUUGUCUACAAGAAUAAUUGCUGUGUAAUUGAACUAUUUCCUCAUAAUUUUAUUCGCAUACGCGCUCAUUUAAUUUAUCAUAAUAUGUGUGUGAAGGGUUAAUUUCAAAUGUCAAAUUUCUUAAAAUUUAAUAGAUAUUGGAUUUUAUAUCGUUGGUUAAAAAAGGUAUUUAUAGGAUAUUUAUAAAUAUUUUGUGUAUUGUUUAUAUCUUAUUAUUAUUUAUAUAAAUAUCAGAAUUCUCAUAAUGUAUUUAAAUUCAAAUUCCAGAUAUAUGUCAUUGAUGUAUACUAUUUCACAGUGUUACCAGGAACUAGUGAUUUUUUUAUGUAUUUUUAAAAUUAAACAUUAAUCAAUUCAUAUUCAAAUUUAUCCAUAAUCAUCUUGUACUUAUUUUCAUAUACGAUAAUUUUAUCACAAAUGUUUUGCGUAUCUUAAAAUCGUAAAUAUUUCAUGACGUAAGUGGUUAUAUAUUGUAUGUAUAUUGUAAUCGUCUUAUUUACGGAAUACAACAUUAAUUUAAUGUUUCAUAUAUGUUUCGUAACAAAUAAUAUUGGUUGACCGAAAGAACCAGCGGUGAUUCGUUGGAUCAUAGCAGGGAUUUUGUAUUGUGCGCGCGCAUUCACUGGCACAACGUGAGACAGAGGUAGCAGCAAGGAAGAGAGCAGUGCAGAAACGGAAUCAGAUGCAGUGAAGUCUGUGAGUUGACAGUGGGGUGCACGAGAACAGGCGUUCAGUAGUGGUGGAGGCGGAGGAGGUUUAGGGGAAAGAAUUGUUUUCUGUGUGCGCGAGAAACGUGUCGACAAGUAACGAGUCUCUGAAAACGGGUCGUCGUUUGUGAUGGUGAAAUGAUUCUCUAGCCCGAGGUUUUUGACUUGGUCCGGACGGACAAAAGAGGAAGACCUUUUGUAUAUCGCUGCUGUUCAAGAGACCGUACGUUUGUUCAUCCGUAGAAAACAUCAUUAAACGCUGACGUCGCGGAAUUCGUCCCGUGUCGUUUUCCUUCGUGGCGAGCGUCCGAACAUCCAACGACUGACUUAGCGACCAUCAAGCGCGCGUGUCUUUGUUUUUUUUUCUCGGUGCUGAAUAACUGUACGAGGAAAACAGAGAGAGUGUGUUAUAUCACAGUGGUGAAAAGACCGAUACGUUUCGUGGGUUUCUGCUGUGGUAAAUAAUCCGUAGCAGUCAGAGGCCCUUCCUAAACGACAAUCGAGCUCAGCUGAUUCAAGGACUUGCUGUUGAAGGGCUCUGCUGCGUUAAUAGACGAUAAAUAUGUCGUCCCCCAGCGCUGGAAAACGACGUAUGGACACGGACGUUCUCAAAUU